rnacentral:rRNA from 1 species
UACGUAGGCAGCAAGCGUUGUUCGGAGUUACUGGGCGUAAAGGGUGUGUAGGCGGUUAUUUAAGUUUGGUGUGAAAUCUCCCGGCUUAACUGGGAGGGUGCGCCGAAGACUGCGAUGCUGGAGUAUGGGAGAGGAAAGCGGAAUUCCUGGUGUAGCGGUGAAAUGCGUAGAUAUCAGGAGGAACACCUGCGGUGUAGACGGCUUUCUGGACCAUUACUGACACUGAGACACGAAAGCGUGGGUAGCGAACGGG